rnacentral:rRNA from 1 species
AUGGCCAAAGCUAGGCUGCGCUCGACGGCCAUCCCGGGCGUGCCGCUGGUGGCUCUCCUCCUUCUGAUCGCCGUCCAAGAGGCCGCCGCCGACGGAGUGAUAAACUACGACGCCCUGCUCGCCGACCACGUGCCCGGCAAGGACCCGUCGCUUAGGCUCCCCGAGGUCGCCAAUAAGUACACUCGCGGGUGCAACCCGUCCUUGAACCGUUGCAGGGAUGUAGACAUCAAGCCACGGGAGCCUGAUUUCGGCGAGGUAGCUUCGCCACCUGUUGUUACAGGAGCAUCUUGA